rnacentral:rRNA from 1 species
GUGGGGAAUAUUGGACAAUGGGCGCAAGCCUGAUCCAGCCAUGCCGCGUGUGUGAAGAAGGUCUUCGGAUUGUAAAGCACUUUAAGUUGGGAGGAAGGGCAGUAAGUUAAUACCUUGCUGUUUUGACGUUACCAACAGAAUAAGCACCGGCUAACUUCGUGCCAGCAGCCGCGGUAAUACGAAGGGUGCAAGCGUUAAUCGGAAUUACUGGGCGUAAAGCGCGCGUAGGUGGUUUUGUAAGUUGGAGGUGAAAUCCCCGGGCUCAACCUGGGAACUGCCUCCAAAACUGCAUGACUAGAGUACGGUAGAGGGUAGUGGAAUUUCCUGUGUAGCGGUGAAAUGCGUAGAUAUAGGAAGGAACACCAGUGGCGAAGGCGACUACCUGGACUGAUACUGACACUGAGGUGCGAAAGCGUGGGGAGCAAACAGGAUUAGAUACCCGUGUAGUCC